AUUGAACGCUGGCGGCAGGCUUAACACAUGCAAGUCGAGCGGAGACUUCGGUCUUAGCGGCGAACGGGUGAGUAAUACCUAGGAAUCUGCCUAUUAGUGGGGGAUAACGAAUCGAAAGGUUCGCUAAUACCGCAUACGUCCUACGGGAGAAAGGGGGGAGUCUUCGGACCUCUCGCUAAUAGAUGAGCCUAGGCCGGGAUUAGCUAGUUGGUAGGGUAAAGGCCUACCAAGGCGACGAUCUGUAGCUGGUCUGAGAGGAUGGCCAGCCACACUGGAACUGAGACACGGUCCAGACUCCUACGGGAGGCAGCAGUGGGGGAAUAUUGGACAAUGGGGGCGAACCCUGAUCCAGCCAUGCCGCGUGUGUGAAGAAGGCCUCGGUU
rnacentral:rRNA from 1 species